UGUCUUGAUUAUCUAUUUUCACUCUUAGAUAAAUUUGGAAAUGCUGUUCCAGCAGUUCAUCCUUUUGAUGUGUAUGCUCGACUCCAUAUGGUUGAUAGUCUUGAAAAGUUGGGUAUUGAUCGCCAUUUUAAGGAGGAAAUUGGAAGUGUGCUAGAGGAAACAUGGAGAAUGUGGCAAAAGGAAGAAGAUGCCAUAUUUUUAGAACCCAC